rnacentral:rRNA from 1 species
AGUUUGAUCCUGGCUCAGAUUGAACGCUGGCGGCAUGCCUUACACAUGCAAGUCGAACGGCAGCACGGAGCUUGCUCUGGUGGCGAGUGGCGAACGGGUGAGUAAUAUAUCGGAACGUACCCUAGAGUGGGGGAUAACGUAGCGAAAGUUACGCUAAUACCGCAUACGAUCUAAGGAUGAAAGUGGGGGAUCGCAAGACCUCAUGCUCGUGGAGCGGCCGAUAUCUGAUUAGCUAGUUGGUAGGGUAAAAGCCUACCAAGGCAUCGAUCAGUAGCUGGUCUGAGAGGACGACCAGCCACACUGGAACUGAGACACGGUCCAGACUCCUACGGGAGGCAGCAGUGGGGAAUUUUGGACAAUGGGCGAAAGCCUGAUCCAGCAAUGCCGCGUGAGUGAAGAAGGCCUUCGGGUUGUAAAGCUCUUUUGUCAGGGAAGAAACGGUGAAAGCUAAUAUCUUUUGCUAAUGACGGUACCUGAAGAAUAAGCACCGGCUAACUACGUGCCAGCAGCCGCGGUAAUACGUAGGGUGCAAGCGUUAAUCGGAAUUACUGGGCGUAAAGCGUGCGCAGGCGGUUUUGUAAGUCUGAUGUGAAAUCCCCGGGCCCAACCUGGGAAUUGCAUUGGAGACUGCAAGGCUAGAAUCUGGCAGAGGGGGGUAGAAUUCCACGUGUAGCAGUGAGAUGCGUAG